rnacentral:rRNA from 1 species
GACGAACGCUGGCGGUGUGCUUAACACAUGCAAGUGGUGCGACGAACCAGAGCUUGCUCUGGGGCAAAGCCGCGAACGGGUGAGUAACACGUGGGUAAUCUACCCCGAUGACCGGGACAACCCGAGGAAACUCGGGCUAAUACCGGAUGUGGUGCGGAGACAUAAGUCUCUUCACUAAAGGUAGCUUCGGCUUCCGCAUUGGGAGGGGCCCGCGGCCCAUUAGCUUGUUGGUGGGGUCAAGGCCUACCAAGGCAACGAUGGGUAGCUGGUCUGAGAGGACGAUCAGCCACACUGGGACUGAGACACGGCCCAGACUCCUACGGGAGGCAGCAGUGGGGAAUCUUGCGCAAUGCGCGAAAGCGUGACGCAGCAACACCGCGUGAGGGAAGAAGGCCUUAGGGUUGUAAACCUCUUUCAGAUGGGACGAAGGUUCUCCGGUGAAUAGCCGAGAGGAUUGACGGUACCGUCAGAAGAAGCUCCGGCUAACUACGUG